GUGGGGAAUAUUGGGCAAUGGGCGCAAGCCUGACCCAGCAACGCCGCGUGAGGGAAGAAGGUUUUCGGAUUGUAAACCUCUGUCGCAGAUGACGAAGGAAGUGACGGUAAUCUGUGAGGAAGCCCCGGCUAACUACGUGCCAGCAGCCGCGGUAAUACGUAGGGGGCGAGCGUUGUCCGGAAUUACUGGGCGUAAAGGGAGCGUAGGCGGUCGAUUAAGUUGGAUGUGAAAUACCCGGGCUUAACUUGGGGGGUGCAACCAAUACUGGUUGACUAGAGUACAGGAGAGGAAAGCGGAAUUCCUAGUGUAGCGGUGAAAUGCAUAGAUAUUAGGAGGAACAUCGGUGGCGAAGGCGGCUUUCUGGACUGACACUGACGCUGAGGCUCGAAAGCGUGGGGAGCAAACAGGAUUAGAUACCCGAGUAGUCC
rnacentral:rRNA from 1 species